UACGUAGGCAGCGAGCGUUGUUCGGAGUUACUGGGCGUAAAGAGUGCGUAGGCGGUGUUCCAAGUCUGUUGUGAAAUCUCCCGGCUCAACUGGGAGGGUGCGGCGGAAACUGGGACGCUGGAGUACGGGAGAGGUAAGCGGAAUUCCUGGUGUAGCGGUGAAAUGCGCAGAUAUCAGGAGGAACACCGAUGGCGAAGGCAGGUCUCUGGGCCACUACUGACGCUGAGAAGCGAAAGCAUGGGGAGCGAACAGG
rnacentral:rRNA from 1 species